AGCAGUCGCCGCGGUAAUACGUAGGGUGCAAGCGUUAAUCGGAAUUACUGGGCGUAAAGCGUGCGCAGGCGGUUUGUUAAGACAGAUGUGAAAUCCCCGGGCUUAACCUGGGAACUGCAUUUGUGACUGGCAAGCUAGAGUCUGGCAGAGGGGGGUGGAAUUCCGCGUGUAGCAGUGAAAUGCGUAGAUAUGCGGAGGAACACCGAUGGCGAAGGCAGCCCCCUGGGCCAACACUGACGCUCAUGCACGAAAGCGUGGGGAGCAAACAGGAUUAGAUACCCCAGUAGUCCCUGUCUCUUAUAC
rnacentral:rRNA from 1 species